UUUCCUGAAGGAAAAAAAAAACUCUCAUGGAGUAAACUACAUUUCCCAAAAUGCAUUGUACGAUUUCCAGUUCAAAGGUUACCAAUACAAGGAAGUGAAGAAAAGUUCUAAGUUACUCUGCUUAGUGCUUACAAACUAUUUGGUUUAAUUGGUCAAACGCCAAGUUGUUCGCGAGACAUAUAAAAGUACGCUAAAACAGAUGAAAAGCAUGUGUGAAAGACGCGUUUUAUUUAGAACUUGUGUCUCGCGGACUCACUCAUGCUUUCAUUGACAGUACUGAUGGACUGAUACACCUUCAUUUAAGCGACUUUUAAGCGGAAAAUGAGCCACUGGAGAACAUGUGUACACUCACACUUACCCUCCAGAGCGGGAGGACUUUGCCUCCACUGAUGCUUCCAGACUUGAUACAUGGGUAUUUGAUGAAGUGAAGGGAAUAUCUAGAGAACACUGGCCUGGUUGAUGCUGGUGUUGCUGAAAUUGUCACUAUGAUGGACGACUUUUAUGGGCAUGAUAGAAAAACGGCUUAUGUUUUUACAUCCGACCAUGGAAUGACAAAUUGGGGAUCUCACGGUGCGGGACAUCCAUCAAACGCUGACCCACUGGUAUCUUGAGGCACUGGUGUCCAGACACGCAAUGGGAGAGCUCUCACAAAUAUGAUGAUAAUUAUUUAAAAGAAUGGGGGUUGGAUACUUCCAGGAGAGUGGAUGUCAAUCAGGCUGAUAUUGCUCCGGUAAUGUCAUCACUUUUAGGAGUUCCCUUUUCUUUGAACUCUGUGGGUGUCUUACCUCUGAUUUACCUGAAUAACAGCCAGCACUUUAAGGCUGAGAGCAUAUAUGCAAAUGCUAUUCAGAUCUUGGAACAGUUCAGGGUGAAAAUGGCACAGAAGAAAGAAACAACAAUAUAUUUUCUGUUUACACCCUGCCAGUAACCGAAAGGAAACUGGGACAGAUGUUUCUGUGUACAGAUCUGCUUAUGGCUCUGUUCUUCUUGGUUCAGUCCAGUCCUUGGACCUACUACAUCUACUGCUUGCUCCCUCUGCCUGUGUGGUUCUCUGUCAUGAGGAAAUUUGAAACUCUUGCCGGACUUGUUUGAGCAAUCCCCUCAUUACCACUCAGCAAAUGCUUUGGAUAUUUUUUGCUAGUUACUUUUGGAAUUGAAUUACUUGUAAGUGCUCGAUUAGCUGUGUGCUAGACAUGGUGCAUGCUGUUGUCUGUGUUUGAGUGUUAGCGCUAUUUUGCACUCUAGUAAUUAGAUGUGUUAACUAUUUCACUUCUAUUUCACUUCUUUCAUUUCCUGUCUGCUGGUUGUGAGUUUUUUCUAUCAGGCAAUGUUGACCUUGGGGCUGCUUGUGCUGGCACUGUGGCCUGUGGUUUCUGGCCUUUACACAAAAGGUCUGAAAGUAGUGUUUUUUAAUACUCGUUUUUGUGUUUUAUACUGUAGUUCAGUUCAUUGAGCUGGAUUUUGAGCUGUCUCUUUCUGGCUGUGUUUCCACUGUUGCCUGUGGUGGGACAGGAACCAGACAUUAACUGUGUGUGAGCACUCUUUGUUCACUUAAACCUGUCAUACACAAUAAUUUGUGGUCAUUUUCUUCAUUUAAACUUUUAAACACAUUCAUACGCUCUGAUUAUUAAAGCAGAAUGGCGUCAGGAAGGUUUAUCUUCUAAAUUGAAUGGAGACGCUCUCCUCUGUUCCGAAGGGAUCGUCAGCUGAUCAUCUGCCAGAUGAUGCAGGUGAUGCUGUGUGCUUACACCCUGACCAGCACACACCCAAGUCUGCAGCUGAAGCAAGGCUUGCCUCUCUUUAACUAGCUUGUUAGCUUGCUCACACUAGGUUUGCCAUCUCCAUUCCCAUGAUGCUUUAUUACCAAUUUUAGACUGUAAAGGGAUAGUUUGCCCAAAAAUUACACUUCUGUCAUUGUUUACUCAUCCUCAUGUCAUUUCAAAUCUGUAUGGUUUUCUGUCUUCUGUGGAACACUCAUAAAGUCAUAAAGAUUUAAAAUGACAUGAGGGUGACAAAAUGGUGAGAUGAACCCUUGAUGCAUGACUGCUAACCAGUGAAUUGCACUUCUUCUUUUCAUCCGUCCUGUUCAUACUUUAACCCUUGCUCUCUAACACUUUGUUUUUUAGUUUCCUCAUUUUUGAUAACGUUGUUAAGUUCCACCAGGCUCUUCUCACACACUUCUGAGUAUCCUGAUGUCCUUAGUUUGUGUCUACCUCCUCCUGAGCACAGGGUAAAAGCCACUAACCAUUAAUCUAACGCCAUCUAAUCAUUCAUUUUUAUGUGUCUGUGCUAGGUUUAACAGUACUUCAGCACAUGUUAGAUUUAGUCAAAUUCUCCUCUUGAGGUUGCCUGUCUAAGGAAAUGGAAUUAAAAAAAAAACCACAUAGUGCUUACAGCAAGCUGUUAAGUUGCAGAAGUUUUUAGUUUAGCCACUGACUGGUUUGAGACCGUUUCAGUUAUACAGAGAAUAUUAUAACGAAUAAUUAAUAAUCUAAUUAAAUAAUAACACUACCAUUCAAAAGUUUGGGGUUGGUUAUUUUUUAAGGAGGUCUUACAUGCCCACCAAUGGCUGUUUUUAUUUUUAAUGCAGUAAAUAGUUCAUAAUAUGAAAUAUUACAAACCUGAUUCCAAAAAAGUUGGGACACUGUACAAAUUGUUAGUAAAAAAGGAAUGGAAUAAUUUACAAAUCUCAUAAACUUAUAUUUUAUUCACAAUAGAAUAUAGAUAACAUAUCAAAUGUUGAAAGUGAGACAUUUUAAAAUGUCAUGCCAAAUAAUGGCUCAUUUUGGAUUUCAUGAGAGCUACACAUUCCAAAAAAGUUGGGACAGGUGGCAAUAAGAGGCCGGAAAAGUUAAAUGUACAUAUAAGGAACAGCUGGAGGACCAAUUUGCAACUUCUUAGGUCAAUUGACAACAUGAUUGGGUAUAAAAGAGCCUCUCAGAGUGGCAGUGUCUCUCAGAAGUCAAGAUGGGCAGAGGAUCACCAAUUCCCCCAAUGCUGCGGCGAAAAAUAGUGGAGCAAUAUCAGAAAGGAGUUUCUCAGAGAAAAAUAGCAAAGAGUUUGAAGUUAUCAUCAUCUACAGUGCAUAAUAUCAUCCAAAGAUUCAGAGAAUCUGGAAUAAUCUCUGUGCGUAAGGGUCAAGGCCGGAAAACCAUACUGGAUGCCCGUGAUCUUCGGGCCCUUAGACAGCACUGCAUCACAUACAGGAAUGCUACAGUAAUGGAAAUCACAACAUGGGCUCAGGAAUACUUCCAGAAAGCAUUAUCGGUGAACACAAUACACCGUGCCAUUCACCGUUGCCAGCUAAAACUCUAUAGGUCAAAAAAGAAGCCAUAUCUAAACAUGAUCCAGAAGCGCAGGCGUUUUCUCUGGGCCAAGGCUCAUUUAAAAUGGACUGUGGCAAAGUGAAAAACUGUUCUGUGGUCAGACGAAUCAAACUUUGAAGUUCUUUUUGGAAAACUGGGAUGCCAUGUCAUCUGGACUAAAGAGGACAAGGACAACCCAAGUUGUUCUCAGCGCUCAGUUCAGAAGCCUGCAUCUCUGAUGGUAUGGGGUUACAUGAGUGCGUGUGGCAUGGGCAGCUUACACAUCUGGAAAGGCACCAUCAAUGCUGAAAGGUAUAUCCAAGUUCUAGAACAACAUAUGCUCCCAUUCAGACGUCAUCUCUUUCAGGGAAGACCUUGCAUUUUCCAACAUGACAAUGCCAGACCACAUACUGCAUCUAUUACAACAUCAUGGCUGCGUAGAAGAAGGAUCCGGGUACUGAAAUGGCCAGCCUGCAGUCCAGAUCUUUCACCCAAACAUUUGGUGCAUCAUAAAGAGGAAGAUGCGACAAAGAAGACCUAAGACAGUUGAGCAACUAGAAGCCUGUAUUAGACAAGAAUGGGACAACAUUCCUAUUCCUAAACUU
ensembl:lncRNA